UAUAUUAUAUCUAGACUUGAGACCUAUUAAAUCUAGAUCUAGACGACUUAGACUUAACUUAAGUGAUUAACAUUCAUGCGUUAUGACUAGAUUUACUGAUUUACUAUUUAGAAUAGAUUCUAGAUCUAGAUUCUAGAAUCUACCAUGAAAUGGCUAAUGCAUCUGCAGCAUAGAAUUAGAUUUAGUUAAAAAAGGACUUACUAGAUCUUAAAUCUAAAUCUACUACCUUUUAACUUUUAGGGCAGAAUAUUAGAUCUAGUCUAUAUGCCUAUCUAAGUAUCUAGUCACGUAACUGUAAACUAAUACUUAGACUUAGGACUUUGGACACUUUGGUAUAUUAAUAUAAUAAUUAUUAUACUCAUAGUACUCAUACUCAUAUAUAGAUUUUAGUUCUAUUCUAAUUCAAAUAUUUUGAGGUUAGAAAAAAUUGACCUAGACUUAUAAGAUAUACUAAGACUUAGUAAACUUAGAUCUAGAUCUAAUAAAAGAUAGUCUAGAAUAGUCUAGAUUCUAAAAUCUAGUUGUUAUUAGAAAAUUUAGUAGAUAUAGAAUAAUAUUUAAUUAAUAUAUUGUUAAUACAGACUAAUCUUUAAUUUUUUCAUAGUAUAGGCGAUAGGUCAUUUAGAUUAAAUAAUUCUAGAUCUAGUAACUAGUUAUAGUCAUAGACCUAUAGUAUAGACUUAUAAUCUUAUAAUAUAGAUAUUUACUUUGUAGAGACUAAUGUACAAUAUUAGGCCUACACUCCAGAUCUUGAAAAUCUAGUCUAGAGUUUAGAAUGUUUAAAUUUAUACAAAUAAAUAAAAUCAAACGUUUAUAUUGGUUUUAAAAUCAGAUAUUGAGAUAUGUCUAGAAAAAUAUGUAUAUAUAUAGUAUAUCUAUAUUAGGGGCCUAUAUAUAAUAGACUAACGCCACUAACGGCUAACCCUAUAGCUGCUUUAGACUAUAGCCCUAUAUUGACAUUGUUUUUUGUUUUUUUUUAAAUGUUCCUUCAGAGUUGAAGAUAUCUACUUGGUAGUCUAAACCUCAAAGGAGCUUAGGGAAGUGAUGGCAGUUGCAGGGUAUGAACCAGACGACCAUGCAGAGACCAACGAGGCGACCAAACAGUCCAUCGUGCAUACCACAUAACCAGGUCCAGAAUGCCAGUUUUCUUUAAGGGCAGCUGACAAUAAGAAUUGUCUAUGUAUGCACUACAGAUGCUGUUCAAUAUCUUUUCAUGAGGAAGCCUGCUCUAAAAGAUUGCCACAUUUUCUUUAGGGGAAGUUGACAUUAAUCUUUUAGGUUAAUAAUAACCUAUGCAUGCAGUACAGAUGCUGUUCAUCAUCUUUUCAUAAGCAAGCCUGCUCAAGAAGGUAAGAAUUAAAUUUUGCUUUUAGAUUACUGAUCAGCAAUCUGAAAGUAAAUUGUUAAUGGGAUGGAAUUUAUUAAAUCUGCUGCAUGGAAGUCAAAAUAUGAAUUAUUGCCACCAGCCUUGAAGUCAGCUUGUAAAGAAUGCUAAGAAUUGAAUGAAAAUGCUGUCUUGAUAUCUUGUUUGUGCUGUUAUAUUUGUCUUUUGUGUUGGUUAAUUAUUCCAUGAAUAAAAAAUAAAAAAAAGUUAA